GAGUAGUUUAGUUUACAUUUAAGCAUUUAUUUUAAUUUGGUUCACCACUUUAUCCAACAAACAAUUUCAGUACCACCACAAUGCACGUACUCACUAUGAGCCUAGAUUUCCUUGUGAAUUUUGGUUUGUGAUUGUACAUUUGCAUAUUCUAGCUCUCCUUAAGUUCACACCCUAGCUAGUGAAAUGAAUCAAAUCCUCGUGGGUUCGACAACCUUUCUUAAAUCCUUAUACUAUCAUUUAUACCCAUUAUACUUGAGGGUGACUAUUUGGCUAACAAUACAUACGAAGAUGGCAGUAGUUUAUAAAAUGUGUAGCUUGCUUGAACAUUCUCUGAAGGGUUGUUCGAGGAUGUCGCAGCUUUCAGGCAGGUCAUCUUCUUCACUCGAGCCCGAUUAAGGGGUCAAGUCAGAAAUCGAGUUGUAUGGAUUCAAAUAAGACUCUGACUAAUGCACUAGAUUGAUCAUUACACUCCUCUUUUUAUAAAUCACACUGUCUUUGUUAUUUAUUCUAAAAAUACCCCUACUUCUUCAUCUCCUUUUUUUAUUUUUCUUUUUUCAUUUAUGUUUUUUAGUUCUCACAUUGUCAGUUCUAUGGGAAAACUUCUUCUUCUCAUCAUUUUCAAUCAUGAAGGCUCUGUUGCCAUUGCUUAACAAUUGAUCUUGAGUUUUUAAUUUAUGGUUAGAACACUAAGGGCAACUCCAACCAUUAGGUGCCAUACUAGAAUUGGGUGCAAUAUAAGACUUUUCAUCUCCAACAGGGCUUUUAGGGGGUGCUAAACCUGGUAUUAUAGGACUUGGUGCUAUCCCAAGUCUCAUUUAUGGAACUUUUUCAAAACCAGCACCUUUGAACAGUGGCACAGGAUCACUCCAUCUUCUAACCCAACCCAAGCCCCGGUUCCGCGCGCUUUAGAGAGAAAAGGAGGAGCACGCUAUGGAGGGAAUGCAUCUCUAGCAAGGACGCGUGCGUGGCGCACUGGGAGAAAGAAGAAAGGCGGAAAGUUGCUACAGUUGUGGGGCCCAGAGGAUCUGUCAUGUCCCCUUAAGACCAUUGUAACCCCCCCCCCCCCAACGUCAUAUAUCUCGAUGGUUCAAAUUCGUCCAUUUAAAAUAUGGACGGCUCUAAUGUUGUCUUUUUUUUAUUUUUAUAAUGCAACAGAUAUAUUUGCAAUCUAAAAGAUCAGAUUUUGUCAAAAAAUUUGAUCAACGACUCCUAUUAAAUAGAGGGUUAUUAAUUUCAGUUUUAUUCAAAAAAAUAAAAUUAACAGAAAAUUGUGGAAAAAAAUCUACCUUUUAGAACAGUAAAUUAUAGAAAAUUCUAUAAAUACCAAUCCAUUCUUCCUAAUUCCUAUCACCAAAUAUCCUCAAUCUCCUUUAAAAAGUUUCAUUUAUUCACUCAUCUUCUUGUUCUUACAUUUUUUUUCUUCUUUCUCUUGGAAAAAAUGGGGCUAAGAAAUGAUUCUUGGAGGCACAAUGAAGAAGUUAUUCUUUGCCAAGCUUGGAUCACUGUUGGUGGUGAUGGUGCUGUCGGAACUGAGUAAACGUCGGAUUUAUUGUGGAAUCGUAUUGCGGAGGAGUACAAUGCGCACAAACCGACGGAUUGCGUAACUAGAACACCUUCUAGUUGUAAGGCUCGUUGGAAAAAAAUAAGUCCAACAUGUAUGAAAUGGCGGCAAGCUAUUAACAAGGUCAAGCCUUUUCAACGACAAAGCGGCGAAAAUAUGGAGGAUAAGUAUUGUAGGAGUCUACCGCCUCCAAGAUGAUUGUUGGUUUCCCCUUGUAGCAAGUAUACUGCCCCGCCCAUCUAGUGAAACAAUUUUUCCAUUGCUAGUGCAUACAAUCAAGGCUCCCGACCAUCCCUGGGAAUUCCCAUUCUGCAGCUUUGUCGAGUAGCAGUCGCAAAUCUGCCGGUGUUGGUUAGCAAAGGUAAGUCUCGUGGUACACAUUCUAGAUUGCUUUCGUGAAGUGUUCUAAAAUCUCAAUGACAGUGGACUUCGCAAUAUUUAGGUAAUCAUCGCAUAAGUCAGUUAUGAUGCCAUACGCAAGUAUCCUCAUUGCAACAUCUUACUUAGUAGUUAUCACAUGCAUAUAAUAUGUGUAUUCAAUAAAUCAUUCAUUCGUUUAUUCACUUUUCUACUGUGCAAUAAUUCUUAGUAAAUCUGAUGGAUUUUUAGUAUUGCAAUGAACUUGUUCUCCUUAAGCCAUAAAUUACAGAUGUUGUGGAUAAAGAUAUGAAAGCGGUACAAAACUUUGAAUUUGAUGCAGAGAAGAUGACUGCCUAUGAAACAUGUAAUAGCAUUUGGAAGAUGAUAACUUCAUUAGAUAUUUCACAUUUCCCCCUGAGAUAGCUUUGUAUAGUGUCAUGCAAUAUUUUUUUUUUUUUAUUCGUCUGUGUUUCUGGAGAAGUUAUCUGUUGACAGUUUGUAAUUUAGAAUUGUAACAUACACGUUUAAAGCUGAUUAUUGAGAAUCUUGUUGGUGCCAUUUUAAAG